GACGAACGCUGGCGGCGUGCUUAACACAUGCAAGUCGAACGGAAAGGCCCCAUCGGGGGUACUCGAGUGGCGAACGGGUGAGUAACACGUGAGUAACCUGCCCUUGACUUCGGGAUAACUUCAGGAAACUGGGGCUAAUACCGGAUAGGAAUCCUUGCUGCAUGGUGGGGGUUGGAAAGCUUCGGCGGUUUUGGAUGGACUCGCGGCUUAUCAGCUUGUUGGUGGGGUAGUGGCUUACCAAGGCUUUGACGGGUAGCCGGCCUGAGAGGGCGACCGGCCACAUUGGGACUGAGAUACGGCCCAGACUCCUACGGGAGGCAGCAGUGGGGAAUAUUGCACAAUGGGCGGAAGCCUGAUGCAGCAACGCCGCGUGCGGGAUGACGGCCUUCGGGUUGUAAACCGCUUUCAGCAGGGGCGAAGCUUGUGGUGACGGUACCUGCAGAAGAAGCACCGGCUAACUACGUG
rnacentral:rRNA from 1 species